ACAAAUUCAUGUUGGACUCUAACAGAUUGGGAGUUUCUUUCCCCUAUAACAUUUGGAGGUCUUCUACUGAGAUAAGUGGCCAGAGACCCCACCUCAGACAUCACCUCCUCAGGGUAAACCACCCCCAGGCUUCCAUCACAUCACCGUCCUGUCCUCCUUCAGAAGCCCCAGAAGCAACCAGCACUGUUGACAGGACAUGAUGAUCUUUGCCUCCCAAAACUCAUUUCAGACGUCUGACCAUGAGAAGAAAGAAAAGAACUGUCAGAAGAGCAGGAGCAGAUUGAGCACAACUUGAUGCACUGUAUCAGUCAGCUUUGGCUGCUAUAAUAAAAUAUUGCCAGCAUUUUCAAUGUCAGGUGCCUGCUGAGCCGCUCUUUCCGUGGCGCUAGUCUGGUCUGUACCGAAUGAGGUGGCCCUCGCAUCCAGGCUAUCGCCGCUGACCAGAGCCGAUGCCUCCAGGAAUAGAUUUGGGACAGGUCUGAGUCUGCUGCUGGGAAACUGGUGCUGCCUCACCCAUCCUCGUGGUAAUCUGUAAGGACUGUUUGUGGUGUUUCUUGCUCUUGGGGAUAGCGGGCAUGAAGAGUUUCCAGAACAAUCAGGAGGGGCCGGAGGGUUCACCCUCACCCUGCAGGAGAUGCCGCCCUCGCCAGGAGCGGGCUGUGUAAUGUCCUGCUGGUGCAUACUUUUGUUUUCUUUGCCAUGAAACAACUCUCCAGUGGGCCUGUGGGUGUCUUUCCAUUGCUCUCACGGUGGGUACCAUGCAGCUGGGGGACAGCCCGGCGAUCCCAUUCUAGGUCACUGCACGGAGCAAGCAGCCGCUGGCGGAAGUUAAAAAUUGGAGGACACAGGAAGGCUGCAGGCAGAGGCAGUGAGGAUAAGAGGAGGGCAGGGAGAAGCAGGGACUGGUGUCAGAAGCAGAGAGGGUGGCUGAGUCACAGUGACACAGGGGCACCAGGAGCGGGGAGACUGAGGCUUGGGGUCCUCCGUGGGGCCGAGAGGAGCUUUCCGUUUUGACUGCAUUCCGGACUUGCCACACCUUCUGGUGCGGUUGCUUUUAUGCUCUCAGAAAGCAAAAAUAGGACACGCUUCCUAUUCCCACACACCUCCUGACUCAGGGCAGCGUCAGGAGAUGCACCGCCUGGGUUCACCACUAUCCUGUGAACAUGGGCAAGUGAUUGCCCGCACCGUGACUCAGUUCCCUCAUUUGUAAAUCAUGCUGAUGCUGGUGUCUCCUUCACAGGGUCGAUGUAAUGACUGAAUGAGAGCGGAUAUAAACUGGGGAGAACACGGCACAGCUGACAUACUCUUUCGGCAGCGGCAGUCUGUCUGGACAGGACAUGAAAUACGGGCAACUGAAGAGACCCUUUGCAAAGCUGUGCUUAUCAACUGGCUCUCGAGAUUCCUGUAUAUUCGACUUGUGGGUGCGCACCAGCUCUGGCUCACCAUGGAUUUGACCCUCAUCUUCAAGCCGCUCGGGCUGCGUAGGUCCUCCUCGCAGAGCCGACGUCCAGAACAAUUGCUGCUCCUCUCAGAUGUGCACACGUCAUUGCUUUGCUUCAAGAAAGCGCCGCAUUUAUGUCUUCACCUCCUACUUUUCUAAAUCUACCUUCUCCUUCUUUCCUUUGUACUGACUGCUCCUGGGCAUCCCUGAGUAUACCAUCCAUGCCCCCCUCAGGACAUUUGCACUUGCUAUUUCUCCUGUUAGAGCUCAAAGACCUUCUCAGGUCUCAGAGCCCAAAUCCUUUCCUCCAAAUAUCUACAUGAUUCAUUCUCUUACCCUCCUCCUGUCUUUGCUCAAAUGUCACCUUCUCACUGAGACACCCUGUUAUAGUUGCAGGCCUGCUUUCCUCUACUCCCCUUCUGACCAUCCUUCUUCCCUGCUUUACUUUUCUCCAUAGCAUUAUCUUUACCAUUAUGUACUACACAGUGUAAAUCUUUCCUUAUAUGAUUUUAUUGCCAUUUCCCUCUAUGGGAAUGUAAAUGACAUAAAAGCUAGACUUUUUUUUAAUAUGUUUUUCUUGAUCUGCUAUCUAUAGAAUAGUGCACACCAUAGAUUAUAUUGAAUAGUGGAUUCCAGUAAAUAUAUACUGAAUACACAGAAGAAUAAGUGGAUGUUGCUUCAAGUCCUGAAGGCACCAGGUUACUAGUGCCAGAUUUAUUUCCAUAUAGUUAAUAGUUUUAGUAAAAUAUAAUUCAUAUACCAUACAACUCAUCCAUUGGAAGUGUACAAUUCGAUAGUUUUUAGUAUAUUCAGAAUUAUGCAGUCAUCACUAAUAUCAGAAUUAGAACAUUUUCUUUUUUUGGUACCGGGAAUCAAACUCAGGACUUCAUGCUUACUAGGCAGGUGCUGUACCA